GGGCAAUGCUCAUCUCUGUUUCAAAGCUGAAGAGCCAGCGCUAUCCGAAGAUGUGUCCAUGGUCAUGUGGCCGGCAUGACUCAAUGCCAAAGGCCCACGGAACGCUGUUACCUUCCCAUCAAAGGAUGGAAGCGACUUAUGAUGCUCCUAAAUCAGGAGGAAGAUCUAAAGAAGUUUAGCCACCCUAAGAUUUCCAUUAGGAAACAGUAGCACAAGAUAAGAAAUAUCCAAGACUGGAAACUAAACCGGGAAGUCAAAGCAAGCACCCUGGAAGAAGACAACAGUCUCUCUUUCAUGCUGUGGCAAGAGAACUAUAUUACUGUACACGGGUGUGUCGAUGAAGC